CCCACAGUAAGAACCUGGUGGGCCAGGUCCUCCUGAGGUGCUGGGCUUUUAGCUUCUAUCCUCGGGGUGUCACCCUGACCUGGCUUCGGGAUGGGGAGCCCAUGCACCAGGGCAGCUUUGGGCUUGGGGCCAACCUGCCCAGUGGGGACGGGACCUACCAGACCUGGGUGGCCACUUGGAUUCCCCCUGGAGAGGAGCAGAGGUUUGCCUGCCACGUGGGACACUGCGGGCUGAACACCACGGUCCCUGCAGUCUCUGGGCCUGAAGGUCAGAGGGCUUCCUGUGCGGCUGCUCCUGCUGCGGCUCCUCUCGCUGUGUCCACUGUCGCUGCUGUGCUGUAUUUGGUGGUGGUCGAAGCCUAGAUGAGGAAGCACACAGAGGAUGUGAGAGCCCAGGAACAGGAGAAGAAUAGACAAGCUGAAUGUUUUAUUUGUGUGUGUGUGAGGAAGAUUAGCCCUGAGCUAACACCUGUGCCAGUCCUCCUCUUUUUACUCAGGAAGAUUGGCCCUGGGCUAACAUCCGUGCUCAUCUUCCUCUACUUUGCAUGUGGGACGCCUGCCACAGCAUGGCUUGAUGAGCAGUAUGUAGGUCCCCAUUGGGACCUGAAACUGUGAACUCCAGGCCUCCGAACUGGGGCACUCGAACUUGACCUCUACGCCUCCAGGCCGCCACUGACAAGCCGUCUUCUUGUUUGCAGGAUGAGCAUACCAGAUGUGUAUUAUGAAAUUUGGCUAAAAAAAAGAAAAAAACAGAAAGACUCAACCAUUUAUCCUGCCUUUCAAAUUCACAUAAGACCCGGACCUCAUGAUAUUCACUUAGUUGAGAAAGAGAGGUGUUUUUUGUACAGAAGUAGUCCAAAUAAUAAAGAUAGAAAAAUAAAGGCAGAAUUACAUUAUCACCGCUUUGUGACCCUAAUGAAUGAAUGGAUCUCAGCAGUAACCAUCAAGGGCCACUGCAUGGCCACUGGGGAGACAGCUGGAUGUAGUGCGCCUCCUGGUGGAAGUACAGAGUACUACCCCUGAUGUCCCUCCAUCAUCAAUUUACUGUAAAGAGAAAGCAAUUGACUGGGAACAAAGAAUCAUAUUCAACCACAUGGUGGACAGGUCCUCAGCAAAGGCACAGUCUUUCUGGAAAACUACAGGCCUCACCACUUUGUUUCUUCACCAAAUAAACUGCCAGAAAACACACAAAUAAUAAAGAUGGAGAGGGAAUCAAUAUGAAGCCGGGUACCUGCGGGUUACUGUAAAUAUUCAAUAUGAUUUACCUUUCCACCUUCUUAUGAAAAGAAGUUCAUCUUGUCAAUUUGCUGUUUUCUUGUUUAACCUGAGGGGUGACUCAAAGGUCACAAGGAUUCAUGAGCUUGUUUUACAGGAGAAGGAGAACACCUUCAAGGAAGUUACCACCACCAGAUACCCAACCCCCAGCUGCCCUUGAUGUCCAGAAGUUAGAUAGUCCAGGGGUUCAUUGGGAGUGACCCCUUCAUUUCUCUGAAACUCCUCCUGCCAAG